GGAAAUUUGUUCUUUCUUAAGACUUCCGCAUGUUUUGCAAUUAAAUGACGCUUUAAAUUUGUUGCGUGAGAGCCUGCUAACUUCACACUAAAAUUAAAAUACUCCAAGCGCACCGAAUCCAUAAAAGCAAGUGAGGUGUAGAAACUGCAUAAGCUUAGCAGCCAUUUUCUUUAUUUUCAUUUUAAUUAACUCGAUCCACUGUACAACUUGGGAUCUCGCUGGCAGAAUUAUGGAGUUAUUCCCAGAACAGGAUAUUAUUGGAACAUAAAUUGGAAAUUUUAAGUUGAUUGGUCUAAUUAUAAAAUUUAUUUUUUAAUUAAAUCGAUUCCUAAUAUUUUAUCACAGGGAAAGCGAAUCGUAAAUUUACAAAAUGAAAAUUAUGUGGGAUUAUAUAUUUAGUAGUCUGUAUCUCAAUUUCGGACCGAGUGUCAGGAAAAAUAUCUGCAUUUUCUUUGAGGAUUGAUAUGUUUGCACCAGUGUCUAUUAAAAAUAAAAGUUGCUUUCCUGUUGCUACAUUUUUAAAA